GGGCCAGUGGGUGAGCGGCAAAGCCGGCUGACUGUAAAUCAGCUCCCUGGUGGUUCGCAGGUUCGAGUCCUGCCUGGCCCAC
rnacentral:tRNA from 1 species